GUCUUAUAUAACUAUAGUUCUAUGAGUUCAUGAUUGUGUUUUUAACUGGGUGAUCAGCUCCUUGAGGAUCAAUAUUAAUUCUUUUUGUCUCCUGUAUAAGGGCUAACCUAGUGCUUUUCACAAAGUGGAAAUACUUUACUUAAAAAAUACUUUUUCUUGUUUCGAGCAGUGAGAUCCUGUGUUUCAGCUUUUGUGGUUGCUACUGUUCUAGAUACAUAUCUGAAGGUAGUCUGCUUAUAUGGAAAUAGGUUAGUAUACACUAACUGUAUAUAUAAUAUAUUUAUUUCUGUUUAAGAAUGUUUAAACAAUCUUAAAAAUGGGAUGGGAGGAAUCUUUGGAAAAUAAAAAAAAGAAUAGGUUAAGACUCUCCUCCCCAUGGACAAAAUAGGUUAGUAUAUACAUUUAUAUGCUAAUAUAAAUGUAAAUUAUGAUAUAUACCAAUAUAAAAUAAAUUAUGAUAUUUUCUGUUUUUAGUUUAUCAUGAAAUAUUUUUGGACCUGUCAUUCUCUGUUUAUUCCAAUCAUAAUUAUUUGCUAAGCAGUGUUUGGUUUACAAUUGAAAGGAUUAGAGCUGGUAUAGGUAAGGUGAUGUGAGUUGCCAAAGAUUUUCACAGAAUCAUGGUUCUCUGGAGUUCCUCAUUUUGGUAAGUGUGUCUUUGUUAGAGUUUCAGUGACUUUCAUUGGAAGGAUUAAGUAGGAUUAAAUAAAAAAAACAAAGUGAUUAUAACAGUCCAAUACAUCAUAGUGCUAUGUAAGUCUUAAAAGUCAUUGUUGUCAUCUUCACCAUCAUCACCAUCAACAUCAUCUUCACUCAUGUCCUUCCAUUUCUAGUUGUCAGUAAACAUCACUGUUGAAAAUGGUUCCUAAACUAACAUCAAUGUUGCACUUGGUGGUGUGGCCUUAGUAGAGGAUUUACAACCUUAGAUUUCAUACACUUAGUGGAUACACUUCAUUAAUGUACUACUGGUACCAUUGUUUCUCAUGCAUCUUAUGUAACAUUUUUGAGGGGCAGUAUAGUGUCCUCUUCUUGAAGAAAGUAUGUGAUACUCCCUGCACAAACCUCCUUUUACCUCCAACUCGAUCUUAUACUAUUCAAUAUCCUUGAUUCAAAACUGGAUUCUAUUUACAUGCCAUUUAAUAAAUUCAACUAUUUUUUUAAGUUCAUAUUAAAGUUAGUGAAAAUUAAUAGUCCUGAAACAUUAGAACUAAAAUUAAAUUUGUGGAUGAUAAGCAACAAUUUUUUACAAAUUAUUUUAUUCUUUAAUUUAAAUACACCUAACAAUUAUUUUUUUAAAAAAGAAAGAAGUUAUUUGUUAUUUAAAUAAAAAAAACAAAGUUUAGGUGAAACAUUUUGUUAGUUAUCCAUCUCUUCUUUCCGAGUCAAAUGACACAUAUUUGAACAGGGAUAAAUGUUCACUUGAAUUACAACCAUUUAAACAGAUUUAUCAAGAAAGCUGCAUGUGCAGAAAUAUUUACUUGACUUUAUUUUUAUGAAUUCCUAAUAUAGCCUUGAGCGCAGACACUUCUCAACACAUGAUUCUUUUAAUUCAAGUUUUCUGUAAUUCAUAUUUUUCUAGUAAAAGUUAUUGACUAUAAUAAUAAGAAUUUAAAAUAAAUGGAAUAUUUACAAAAUAUUUGUGUGGGUUGAUCACACAGGAAUCAUUCAUUUUUAAUAUUUGAUCAAUCCCAAUAUUACUGAGCAUAUACCCUGAAUUUAAAUGUUAUACUCACACAGCUAAGUUUAAGAAAGGGGAGGGUGGUUUAGGAUAUAACUCAAUGGUAGAGUACUUGCCUAGCAUGCGUGAAACUCUCUGUUUGAUCCCCAAUACUUAAAGAAAAAAUGAAGUGACAGUUAACAUAUUUUCUUUUUUUUUUAUUUUCCAAAGAUUCCUCCCAUCCCAUUUUUAAGAUAGUUUAAACAUUCUUAAACAGAUCUCUGAAUAUUCAAAGAAAUACAAUGAAAAUAUUGGGGAGUGUUCUAGUUAGUUAGUUUUUGUUGUUGUUGUUGUUUGCUGCUGUGACCAAAAGACAUGACAAGAACAAUUUUAGAAGAGGAAAUGUUUAUUUGGGGGCUCACAGUUUCAGAGGUUUGUUUUUUUUUUUUUUUCCAUAGAUGACCAACUCCAUUGCCCUGGGCCAGAUAUGAGGAAGAACAUCGUGAUAGAAGGGCAUGACAGAGGAAAGCACCUCAGGACAUGACACCAGGAAGCAGAGUCAGAGAAAGAGAGAGAGAGAGAGAGAGAGAGACUCUCCUCCCAAUGGACAAAAUACAUACCCCAAUGACACAUCCCAAAUCACCCACCUCCUCUAGCCACACCAUAUAUGCCUACAUUUACAACCCAGUUAAUCUGUAUCAGUGGAUUAAUACAUUGAUUAGGUUAAGGCUCUUAUUUCAUCUCUAAACCCCCUUGCAGGGUCUCACACAUGAACUUUGGGUGGACACUUCAUAUCUAAACCAUAACAGGGAGGCAACAUGUUUUCCUAGUCCUUCAUUUAUUAUAAACUUUAAUUCGUAGUCAGGAAAAAGUGGAAGAAUAAUAUUUUGGAAUAAAGUUGAAAUGAUUUAAUACUUUUCAUUUUUAAAUGUAUUGUGCUUACUUCUCUCAUAUUGCUACUAAUUAAAGUGUAAGAAUCUCAGAAACAGAGAAGCAUUCCCAUAGUACUUUCUUGAACAACAGUGUCACUGAAACACAAAGGAAUGGUAAGGUAAUUUUGAUGAAAAUUUCUGAUUGUGUGCUACAUAUAGUUCUGAAAAAUGUUUAUAAUUUUAAUAAAUAAUAGUAUCAAGUUACUUCGUGGAUUAAUUGAUAUAAUAGACCCACUGGUUACUUAUAUUUUAAUUGAUACAUGAUCUAAGCAAAUCAUAAUGGAAGUCUAUAGCAAUAAGAACAGAGUUUCACAAAAAUAC
rnacentral:lncRNA from 1 species